AGAGGGUGCAAGCGUUAAUCGGAUUUACUGGGCGUAAAGCGCGCGUAGGCGGCUAAUUAAGUCAAAUGUGAAAUCCCCGAGCUUAACUUGGGAAUUGCAUUCGAUACUGGUUAGCUAGAGUGUGGGAGAGGAUGGUAGAAUUCCAGGUGUAGCGGUGAAAUGCGUAGAGAUCUGGAGGAAUACCGAUGGCGAAGGCAGCCAUCUGGCCUAACACUGACGCUGAGGUGCGAAAGCAUGGGGAGCAAACAGGAUUAGAUACCCUGGUAGUCCAUGCCGUAAACGAUGUCUACUAGCCGUUGGGGCCUUUGAGGCUUUAGUGGCGCAGCUAACGCGAUAAGUAGACCGCCUGGGGAGUACGGUCGCAAGACUAAAACUCAAAUGAAUUGACGGGGGCCCGCACAAGCGGUGGAGCAUGUGGUUUAAUUCGAUGCAACGCGAAGAACCUUACCUGGCCUUGACAUAGUAAGAACUUUCCAGAGAUGGAUUGGUGCCUUCGGGAACUUACAUACAGGUGC
rnacentral:rRNA from 1 species